rnacentral:rRNA from 1 species
UACUGCCCUAGUGAAUCUGCCGGGCAGUGGGCGGACAACCCUUCAAAUGGAACAUCUAAUACCGACAUACGUCCUACGGGUAGAAAGCAGGGGACCUUCGGGCCUUGCGCUAUCAUAUGAGCCUAUGUCGGAUAAGCUAUCCUGGUGGGGUAAUGGCUCACCAUCGCGACGAUCCGUAACUGGUCUGAGAGGAUGAUCGCCCACACGGGAACUGAGACUCGGCCCAGACUCCUACUGGAUGCAGCAUGGGGGAAUAUUGGACAAUGGGCGAAAGCCUGAUCCAGCCUUGCCGCGUGUGUGAAGAAGGUCUUCCGAUUGUAAACUACUUUAAGUUGGGAGGAAGGGCAGCAAACUAAUACCUUGCUGUUUUGACGUUACAGACCCAAUAAGCACCGGUUAACUCUGUGCCAGCACCCUCGGUGAUACAGACGGUGCAAGCGCUAAUCGGAAUUACUGGGCGUAAAGCGUCGCGUACGUGGUUUGUUAAGUUGGAUGUGAAAGCCCCGGGCUCAACCUGGGAACUGCAUCCACACUGGCAACCUAUAGUACGGUAGAGGGUGGUGGAAUUUCCUGUGGAUUGNUGAAAUGCGUAGAUAUACGAAGGAACACCAGACGGCGAAGGCGACCACCUGGACUGAUACUGACACUGAUNGCGAUAGCGUGGGGAGCAACAGGAUUAGAUACCCUGGUANUCCACGCCGUAUACGAUGUCAACUANUUUUGCAAUCCUUGAGAUUUACUNCGCCUCUAACGCAUUAUAUGACCGCCUGGUGAAUACAGCNNCCAGGUUAANACUCAGAUGUAUUGACCGGNAGCUCGCACAAGCNNGUGGCACCAUGCUGUUCUNNUUNGUAAUCUACGACUAACACCUUCACCCNCUCUNNACAUGCAGAUAACUGUCCNAANNAUGGAUGGUGCCUNUCNNGACUCUGACAUCAGAGCUGCAUGGCAUGACCUUACUCCCGUCUGNANANCUGA